rnacentral:pre_miRNA from 1 species
UUUGUACUCCCUCCGUCCCAAAAUUCUUGCCUUAAAUUUGUCUAAAUACGGAUGUAUCUAGUUACAUUUUAGUGUUAGAUACAUCCGUAUCUAAACAAAUGUAAGACACGAAUUUUGGGACGGAGGGAAUACUAC